GUAGUCUCGCACAGAUGCAUAUCAAUAAGCGGAGGAAAAGAAACUAACAAGGAUUCCCCUAGUAACGGCGAGUGAAGCGGGAAGAGCUCAAAUUUGAAAUCUUAAAGGGUUUCCCUUUACGAAUUGUAGUUUAAAGAAGUGUUUUCUGUUGAGGUUUUGGUAAAAGUUCUUUGGAAUAGGACAUCAUAGAGGGUGAGAAUCCCGUAUUUGACCUUUACUUUCAACUUUGUGAUACACUUUCAAAGAGUCGGAUUGUUUGGGAAUGCAGUCCAAAAUGGGUGGUAAAUUUCAUCUAAAGCUAAAUAUUGGCGAGAGACCGAUAGCGAACAAGUACCGUGAGGGAAAGAUGAAAAGAACUUUGAAAAGAGAGUUAAACAGUACGUGAAAUUGUCAAAAGGGAAGCGUUUGACACCAGUGUUGUUUUUCUGAAAAUCAAUUAAAGAACUGUUUAUGCUAAGCUUGUUUAGACUUUAUCAGCUAUCUGUUUAGUUUUGAGCUUUUCUUUAAUGCACUUUUCAGUUAACAAGUCAACAUCAAUUUCUUUUGCUGUAAAAAAGCUUGAGGAAGGUGGCUUGAGAUUCGUCUUAAGUGUUUAUAGCCUCUUGCCUAUGCAGUCGGAGAGAUUGAGGUCUGCAGCGUAGAUCCUUCGGGACUAAAUGCAUUUGUGCUAAGUUAUAGCAUUUUCAUAGACAACUUGUUGACUAUGAUUUGUCUUGUAGCUUACUCGCUUAUGUUAUUUUACCUACGCUUAGGAUGUUGACAGCAGUAUAGACUGU
rnacentral:rRNA from 1 species